rnacentral:rRNA from 1 species
UACGUAGGGUGCAAGCGUUUGUCCGGAAUUAUUGGGCGUAAAGAGCUCGUAGGCGGUCUGUCGCGUCUGCUGUGAAAACUCGGGGCUUAACCCCGGGCCUGCAGUGGGUACGGGCAGACUAGAGUGCGGUAGGGGAGACUGGAAUUCCUGGUGUAGCGGUGAAAUGCGUAGAUAUCAGGAGGAAUACCGAUGGCGAAGGCAGGUCUCUGGGCUGACACUGACGUCAUGCACGAAAGCGUGGGGAGCAAACAGG